UACGUAGGGUGCGAGCGUUGUCCGGAAUCAUUGGGCGUAAAGCGCGCGUAGGCGGCUAGAUCAGUCUGCUGUAAAAGUCAAAGGCUCAACCUUUGAAAGCCGGUGGAUACUGUCUAGCUAGAGUCCGGAAGAGGCGAGUGGAAUUCCUGGUGUAGCGGUGGAAUGCGCAGAUAUCAGGAGGAACACCAACGGCGAAGGCAGCUCGCUGGGACGGUACUGACGCUAAGGCGCGAAAGCGUGGGGAGCGAACAGG
rnacentral:rRNA from 1 species